GAAAGACAUUGAGGUCUGUUGCUGUCCGGAGCCCUUUUUCUGUUGUACUACUGGCAAGUAUGAGUAGCAGUGCAAUAUUAAAAGGGCAUUGGCUGGCAGGCUAAGCUCCUCCUCCCUAC
rnacentral:precursor_RNA from 11 species